rnacentral:rRNA from 1 species
CCUACGGGAGGCAGCAGUCGAGAAUCAUUCACAAUGGGGGAAACCCUGAUGGUGCGACGCCGCGUGGGGGAAUGAAGGUCUUCGGAUUGUAAACCCCUGUCAUGUGGGAGCAAAUUCAAAAGAUAGUACCACAAGAGGAAGAGACGGCUAACUCUGUGCCAGCAGCCGCGGUAAUACAGAGGUCUCAAGCGUUGUUCGGAAUCACUGGGCGUAAAGCGUGCGUAGGCUGUUUCGUAAGUCGUGUGUGAAAGGCCCGGGCUCAACCCGCGGACGGCACAUGAUACUGCGAGACUAGAGUAAUGGAGGGGGAACCGGAAUUCUCGGUGUAGCAGUGAAAUGCGUAGAUAUCGAGAGGAACACUCGUGGCGAAGGCGGGUUCCUGGACAUUAACUGACGCUGAGGCACGAAGGCCAGGGGAGCGAAAGGGAUUAGAUACCCCUGUAGUC